GACGAACGCUGGCGGCGUGCUUAACACAUGCAGGUCGAACGAAGAGCGAUGGAAGCUUGCUUCUAUCAAUCUUAGUGGCGAACGGGUGAGUAACGCGUAAUCAACCUGCCCUUCAGAGGGGGACAACAGUUGGAAACGACUGCUAAUACCGCAUACGAUCUAAUCUCGGCAUCGAGGAUAGAUGAAAGGUGGCCUCUACAUGUAAGCUAUCACUGAAGGAGGGGAUUGCGUCUGAUUAGCUAGUUGGAGGGGUAACGGCCCACCAAGGCGAUGAUCAGUAGCCGGUCUGAGAGGAUGAACGGCCACAUUGGGACUGAGACACGGCCCAGACUCCUACGGGAGGCAGCAGUGGGGAAUCUUCCGCAAUGGACGAAAGUCUGACGGAGCAACGCCGCGUGAGUGAUGACGGCCUUCGGGUUGUAAAGCUCUGUUAAUCGGGACGAAAGGCCUUCUUGCGAAUAGGGAGAAGGAUUGACGGUACCGGAAUAGAAAGCCACGGCUAACUACGUG
rnacentral:rRNA from 1 species